GGCGCCACUACUGAUCGAAGACGUGACGUACGUGGACGCACAACGAGCACCCGGGAAAACGCACAGUGAACUCAAUAACGGGCUGACGUCUCGAGUGGCUAAAAACAGCAAACAGGCAGCGCAACGUACGACUCUGGCGGAGGUUGGAAAACCACUAAAACCAAGUCGGCACGUGUGUUUAAUGACUGCCACCGGCUUUAUCCCCACAUUCCUACGUUAACGUACCGGGAAACUUCGGCGUCAUGGCGAGGUCGCCCCCUGCUGCGCUGGAGGGGACCAUCAGCUCAUUCCUCGGCCUGUGGUUACUGAGAGGUGAUGAUCUCUUGUAUUUUUAUAUAUUGGGAAAGCAGAAACGUAAUUAAAAAGACACACAGUGAUUUGGUUUGUCGUUUUAAUCACUCGACAAGAGGACUGUUACAGUUUGAAUAGGCUUAUUACAGAGCAGUAAUGUUGGUAAAGUUAAUCGAUUAGCAACUGACAUCCUGAAAUACACAGGUAUGCAAUGUUUUCUUAGCUCAAGAAUAUAUUAGAGAUUCUAGAUUAGAUUAGAUUUUAACAAAAAUAUGCUGGGAAAACAAAUAUGCACAACAGUAAAAUAACAACUUCCGUAACCUUCAGACAUGAUUUUGACAAAGGUUUCAACUCCUUACUAAAACUGCAUUUCUUGACAAAUUGAGAGUGUUUAGACUCUACUAAUGGACUUGACAUUUCACCACCACAUCUAUAACUUGUUUCUUGUGCCUUACAACUAAUUCCAAAAUCCACAUAAGAACGUGACAAUAUUUCAUUUGCACUUUCUAUUAUUCACACUGAUAGAUUUCCAUUUGCAGCAACAGUUGCGCAGUAAGCUCAUCUAUUGUGUGUGUGUAUGCCAACGUGUGCUGUGUGCAUGCGUUCAUGCUUGCUUGUGUAUGUGCAUAGUAGGUGUAAUCACAGUAGGUUUUUUCACAGCUCCUCGGUCUCCGCAUCAAAGGGCACAGCAUCAUUCUCCAUAUGAAUGCUGCUUGGCUCACUGCUGCCGACCCAACCAAUUGGAGUACGGUUGAAGGAAGGCCGGCAGCCAAUGUCAUGUUGGUAGACCACUGCAGGUUCAGGCUCCUGUUUUGUUGCCUCAGCAUCUGGCAGCUGGAAUUUCAGGAACUGAUUGGCCUUCUCAAAGCCACCGUAGGGCAUGGCAGUCCUACCAAAGCAAGGUGAGAAUACCUUUAAAGCUCCAUUUUGUCAUAAAGCACCUAAACAUUCAGGUGUUACGGGAAAUACCUGUUGAAACUUUUAUACAAGGGUAAAUCCUUUCGAUCAAUAAGGACAGGCAUGGAAGGUUUCAGUGUGGCAAUCAGACCCUCGUCCCCUUUCAUGGCCUUCUCCCAUGGUGACACAUAUGUUUUUAUAAUAAUCUGUGUCUUGGAUGUGGAUGAGUCUUUUUCACCUGCUGUGAAGGAAAACAUCCACUUGUUUAAUUGUUAAUUAUUUCUGCAGCUGAAACAUUCUGCAGUAGAUUUAGGGAAAUGUUAUACUCAUUUUUUUUGUUCUGAGUGCAUGUACAAUAAUCACAUAAUUUCUGUAGUUGUAGUCUUUAGCAUUGAAAUAUGUUUUACAGAAUUCAAUUCAAAGAGGUACUUGCCCAAGACACUGUCUUCCUAAAAUAAAAAAAAAUGUUAUACCCACCUCCUUGAGACCACUCACUAGCUCCUUCCCCUUUGACAUCUUUUCCAUGGUCCCCACCAGUCAGUCCACAAGUUCCUGCUCCUCCUGCUCCUCCUGCUCCUCCCGCUCUUGCACCUUUGCUUCCAGGCUUUGGAGGAGGCACAGGAGCCCCCCCUCCGAUUAGCAUUCCUCCAUACUGCACUUGUCCAACCUCUUUGCUAACAAUGUGCCCACCAAUAUUUAUUGUCUGACCUCCCAGCGAACAUCCAAUUAAGGGAACAAAUUUCUGGAGGUUGUCCUGGAAAGAAAAGUCAGUAACCAACAAUAUGCCACACAUAUAUUUAUUUUUAUUUGCUUAUUGACAGUGUUUCAGUUUAUUGACCUAAAUGUUAAAUGGACAAUGAAUUACUCAAAUCAGCUGUAAUGUUACUUAAAAGUAAUAGUUCAACUCAAUUUAAAACCUUUGUGGUGCUAUGUUUUAAUUGACCCAUAAUAUAAAUAAAAUUAGAUGAUAAUUUCUUAAGCAUUGCUGAGUUUCUGGAUACAUUGUCAAGGGCUUCAAUUAUGUAGUUUCUGUAUAAUUUCUGUUUCUGUAUUUCUCACAAGCUGUCGCUAACAUUGUUAGAAAUUAUAACUUCAAUUAUAAUUUUGGCCUCACCAUAGACUCACUGCUGAAGACGUCAGGGUUGUUUUCAUAGAUGAACUUCUCCACUCUCUGCUGCCUCAUCUUGAACAUCUUGGAGCCUCUGUUCUUCAUGAGGGAGAGCUCCUCCAACAUGAUGUCCUUAGGUGUCCUGAUCUUUGUUCCCAGGUCAAACUCAGACGCCUCUGGCUCUGACUCAUACUCUACAUUCAAGUAAGAGAUAUCCAAUCAAAUAGUAGCUAAUGUGCGGAAAAAGAUGUUAAACAGCUUGGUUCUUUAACUUUUCAUUUAAUUAUUUUGUCUUGUAUUGAUAUACUGUACAGUAUCACCUGGAACGUUAAAUCAUAGUAGGUUAAUAGGUUAAUCUUUCCUGUACGAUGAUGCUUUGUUCUAACUUUAUUGAAAACACAACUUCUGGAGUUAACUAUGCCUAAGUGUUUAUUUAACCCACGUCACUUAUCUUUAGCAUCUACACAAACUACACUAAUUACAUUAAUCAACCUUUUACUAAAAUCCUGAAACCACUCAUAUCAAUAUUUCACUGUAAACUUCUUUUUAUAGCAGAUGAGUUAAUUUAAAGUGCAGGCAAAAAGUAAUUUGUCUGUUUUUAGUUUCCCCCCAGUGAAUGACCUGCCAUAAUUCCUUUAUGUAUACUGUGUUUAUGAAAGAACCCCAGUGACUACAUGGUAAUUGGGUUUCACAUUCAUAUCAUUUUGCGUCAGCCUUACCAUCCUGAGUGAUAUGUGAUAGGUCAGUUAUGAUCUUGGCGGGCUUCUUCCGCUUGUUUAGAGGGGCAGGUGUUCCCAGAGGCAUGGCUUGAAGGCCAGGAAAGACCAUGGUGUUAAUUAUAACAAAAUAUUUAGCUUAUAUAUUUUACAGAAUCUGUCACACAUAGUUUGACAUCAAAACAACAGAACCGAUUCACAGUUGUACAAAUCUUAAUCUGCAUACUGUGGCUACAGAUGAAAUUAGUUUUUGCCUCAUUUGUUAUUGUUUUAAUUUAACAGCUCAAAGAAAUACGAAUGGUCACUUUCUGGCUAAUCACCUCAACUUAUCAAGAUAAAUCUCCACUGUCCUUGCCUGCAAACACAAACAGCCAUUACCAUGACUCCAUGUGACCCAAAUGCAUUUGACCGACAGCACAUGCCCUCCUCAUUUUCAGUCAGUCGGAUGUCAGUGCCGCGACAUUCCCAACAUUCCCCAGUGAAACAGAUGUCUGCCUAAAGGAAACAUAUAGCCUAAUGUGUGCGGUAGUUUUGUUUGGAGACAGAAGAUCUGUACAGAGUCUGUGUCAACAAAAACAGAAAUGUGCUGUGGCUUAGGCAGAAAUUGGUCAUCAUUCCAUUUUGGAGCUACUUUGGUGCAGGAAUGGUAAAGGCCUGAGGAUCAUAGAAAUAGAGCAUGUAGCUGCAGGAACUGUACUUCCAACUGUGUCAUACAGUAUGUCCACUCACUGAGGAACAGUAACAUCUACUACCAACAUGUUAACAUGUUUGUAACCUAUAAUGCUUCUCUGCUUAAUUUCUUCACAUACAGUGUAGUGCAUGGUGGAUCUUUUAGCUCUAAGUAGUAUCUUUAAGGCCCGGGAAAGUGGUAAAACAUCACAUCACAUCUACUGACUGUAACUCAAUCCACUGCUGCUAUUUUUAAAAGCCAUUUCCAGCCAAGACAUUUUAGCGACGUGUAAUGGCGUCAUUCACAUAUCAAAUGGGCUUGACACAACCCUUAAGGACACAAUACACACCUCUAGAAAACAAUUUUUUAUUUCUUUUUUCCAAAAUAUAAUAUAAGACUACAGUAAUUCUUGAUGUUAAUGAGGAUGGCUAUCGUUUUAAUUUCUCUUAAUGAGUACAGGCUUAGGGACUUUUCACGUUCAAGUUUUCCACCCCCCAUCAGGAUUUGGUAACACUAUAUAAAAUCUCUGCAACGCCCACAAGCAACGGUCAGCAAAUUCUCCUAUUGCUCUGCUCAUUUUAAUACGUACCAACACGUCAAAGAACAAAUUCUAGAAAAUGUAUUGUUGCCAUUGUUAAAAUAAUAACAAGCAAUCUCAAAAGCAAUAUAAUGAAUUUGUUUUCUAUUGUAUUAUUGUUUUUUUCUCUUUUUUACCAACAUCAGCUGCACAACCUGCAAAAAUGUGAUUGGCAGUGUGCUGCACAUGAUUAUUCUCUGUCUUUGUUUUUGUCCUAGCCAUUAUUUAAAUCAAAGCUGUUGGUUGAUUAGUAGAACAAAGCACACUGAUGGGCUGCAGAUCCACUUACCGUGUUUUUGUUGUAAUCCUGAGGAGAGACCAACCUAUAAAUACCAAACAGAGAAGAGGAGACCUGGGGCUCAAUGCUGGUGAUCACAAGUUUACAAAUCCCUCAGUGCCUCUAACCCUACGAAUGGUUGGACCCAGGUCUCGGGUACUGCAAAACCCACCCUACACUCAGAUGGCAGAUCUUCCUGAGGGUUGGGGGUGUGGGUGGCAGCAGUGUUAGUGUCAAGACGGGAGGAGGAGGAGGUUGAGGUUAGGAGUAUGAAUAGGGUCUGGUGGGCCUUGAGGCGGGGGAGAAGUCUCUGUUGGCCAGUUGAAAGUGCUGAUGGUGAUAUUAAGGGAACAAAAUCAUUCUCACAGAUGGCUCAGAAGCCUAUAUUUAGUAGGAAAGGACGAGGGGAACAGAACUCAGCUAUAAAAUAACCUCGGAGGACUCCGGGGUGUGUUUGGGGUACACAGGCUGAUAGGAGAGAGAGUAAAGUAUGAACAUGUGCACAUUUCAGGUUUAGGGUUAAACAUACAGAGUGUCACAUGUCAGUUUGUGUUUCAAAAUUAGUUUUGAUUAAUAUGUUUCUCUAACCCAGUGCAACAUGUGACUUAAUGUACAGUAAUAACGGAGACAGAGCCGUCAGUCGCAGGGCCAUUCCUGCAUUGUUUAGACCAGUGUGCAAUACAAGCUCUGGAGAACAAUCAAAGGCGAAUUAAAAAAUUAAAUAUAUUAUGUAAUACUGUACCCUCAUUUUUCAUCUGGAGGCCAUAAAUGACUGUACAAAUCUGAAUGUCCAUUUGAUACUUCACACUUAUGCAAGUCACCGAUGCUGUGAGCACUGCUGUUCCCAAAAUAUCCCAGAUGCCAGCUUUUCCAUCUUUUUUUCUUUGUAAUCUUGAUAGACUGUUCAUCAGAUUCCAAAGUUUGUCAAAGAAAUAAACUAAAUCAUGUACUCUUCUGACACCAAAACAUGUUUCAUUUGGUUUAUGUGACGCUCUACAUGAAGGUUUCUAACACUUUCUGGGGUCUAGAAGGUGACACACAUUCAUAAUGGUAUGCAGCCUUGGGCUUUUCUGGGAGUCACUAUAUCUUUUCACAAUAACAUGCACUGCAGGCAGUGAACGCCCCUGAUUUGUAACAGUACUGCAUGAACAUUUUCAAAUUUACAAUUCACUUGGCAAAAAGGUAUAAGCCAAAACCUUUGAAUUAAAGCGAUACAAUCUCCUGCUACCAGUAAAGCCGCUAAGUCUGAGCAGUGUUAUCUGAAAGUCUAAAUGUGAAAAUGAAGUGGUCUACAGCAUAUCAGAGGUUCUGCAUACAACAUUAUUUAUAGGGCAAUGUUACAUUUUGUAAUUUUACAUCUGGCUAAUUGCCCAGCAUAUGUGGCUUCAUUUGCUCCAAAGGCGUUCUAAUGUUUAGCCAUUUGUGUUAUUGUGUGUAAAAACGAGAAAACUCUGUGACAACUCUUUUAUUUAAGCUUUUAUUAAAUGUCAUACAAAGUUAUGACUGCCCAGUUAUGAAUAUUAUUAUCUCAUGCAUGUACUGUAUUCAAACAGGGCAGGGCCAAUCAACACAAUCAGCAGCAGGGGGCAGUGUAAAAUCAGGCAUUUAAAUCUAAGUUUAUUUAUGCCCUAGUCGAUACAAACGUCUAUUCAGCAAUAAUGCCUACAUUCAAACACAUUUAUUUAGCAUAUUUUACACCUCCUAAUAUCCACAUCCUAGAUAUUUCAUAGCCAUAAAUAAUAGGAACUACUUAAAUGCUUUAGGAGAAAUUAUACUUCAAAAAUGGUCAAAGGAUCACAAAUCCAAAUUACAGAACUGAAAACAACAAUUUCUUUACUUACAUUUAUUGACUUACCCAGUCUCUCAAAUGUUUUUAUGCUUCCUUUCUAAGUAGCAGAAGACACAGGCUAGACUUUGUCCAUCAGAUUCUUUAACAAUUAUUUUCAAGUAUCUACUUUCCUGCCCGUUCCCUUUUUUGCUGAGAUUUCAAAACCACAUAUAAUCUUGUCUCAGUUUUACCACAUCUGAUCAUUACCAUGCCUAGGAAAUAGGCAGUGACCUAGAUGUCCCAACUUUGCUACCACUUGGUAAUUUAUCAUACCUUGCAUACAGUACCUUUCUUCGCAGCCACUGCCAUUUCUUGAACCCUUUUACAUAUAUUGGUGCCUCUCAGUUUAUCAACAUCCUUUUGCACACCUUCACAUUUGAGCACAAUUAAAACAAAAUAAAUUACACAUUUCUUUAUCUGUGAUAAAUGUUUAAUUAAAGUUAAGAAUGUACAUAAACUGUAUCUGCAUAGACCCUGAGUGGUCACAUUGAUGCUACAAACACUCCCUGGUGUCCCUAAGUGGCAAUUGAAAGCAGUGAUACCCCGUGUACAUUCAGUAACAGCCUGGGCAGUCAUUGAAUGUGACCCUUGUUUGAAAGAUAGCAUUUCUUUUUGGCUACAGUGAGCAGAAGAGUUUGGCAUAACCUCAAUAACACUGCAAGACCAAACUAUUACAUUAAAUGCACAGUGAACUAAUGUAAAAAAAAAA